UGUUCCUGCUUCUUCAGUUUUGAGUCGGUAUGCCUUGCUUAUCUUUCAAGGCUGUUUGAUUCGAUGUCUUAGGCGCUCCACUAUUACUUUGUUUUGAUUAAGUUUGGAUUUUUGACAAUGUAAUGAGUAUUAUGGAUUAUUGUUUUUGUUUUAAUUACUGAUGAGGAGUUUUAAACUAUCUUCUGGUUUCAUCAGUAACUCCAUGCUAACGGAGAGUAGUUAGCCUGUGUGCACAUAGUAUUCUGUAUGUAUACCUAGCUGGUGAGAGAGGCAUCAGCCUGUGGCGACUGAUCAUCCCACAGUGGUCACCUUCGGGUGUCAUCUGGUCUGGUCACCUUCGGGUGUCAUCUGGUCACCUUCGGGUGUCAUCUGAUCUCUGACAUAUAGUCCACUACGUUAUGAUGAUACGUUUAGUAUGUAUAUGAUAUGUAUAUGUAUAUGUACAUCAAGAUAAAUGAUCUUGCGAACUAUUAAUAUCAAGAAUAUCUAAAAUGUAUAUUAAUUAUUAUUCCCUCACUGAGUUGGUUGAACUCACCCCUCAUUCUUAAUAUUAUUUCAGGUUCUUAGUUUCUGAUAGCAGGUGAACUUUGUUGAGUGUUCCUGCUUCUUCAGUUUUGGGUCAGUAUGCCUUGCUUAUCUUUCAAGGCUGUUUGAUUCGAUGUCUUAGGCGCUCCACUAUUACCUUGUUUUAAUUAAGUUUGGAUUUUGACAAUGUAAUGAGUAUUAUGGAUUAUUAUUUUUGUUUUAAUUACUGAUGAGGAGUUUUAAACUAUCUUUUGGUUUCAUCAGUUUUGAAUAAUAUAAGAUUUCUGAAGAUUAUGAAA
rnacentral:lncRNA from 1 species